rnacentral:rRNA from 1 species
UACGAAGGGGGCUAGCGUUGUUCGGAAUUACUGGGCGUAAAGCGCACGUAGGCGGACAUUUAAGUCAGGGGUGAAAUCCUGGAGCUCAACUCCAGAACUGCCUUUGAUACUGGCGAUCUUGAGUCCGGGAGAGGUGAGUGGAACUGCGAGUGUAGAGGUGAAAUUCGUAGAUAUUCGCAAGAACACCAGUGGCGAAGGCGGCUCACUGGCCCGGUACUGACGCUGAGGUGCGAAAGCGUGGGGAGCAAACAGGG